GAGGCAGCUGCUUCCUGGUGGAGGCGCCACUUUCUUGAGAGCCCCUUUUGCCCGCCGCGAAGAGCCCUUUCCCUCUGUUUUUGCCUUUGGCCCGGAGUGUGCUAUCCCGCUGGCCUAUGUACAGGAGGAAGCCCGUCGCCUGAAGGGGCCCUCACCUGUAUAGCCCGGAGUGGUUUCACUUGGCACGUUCCUAACCUCACGGAGGAGCUCUAAUCCCGACAAACUCCAAACCCCUUUCCCCGAGAAAUUCCUUCCCUGCAUGCAUUUACCGGGCGCUCCUUUAAACCCCCUCGUCUCCCUCACCCGCCACGCCUUGUUCCACUCAGCUCCCACCCCCUUCUUAACCCGAGAAGUCCCCUCAGCCGCCACCAUAAGGACCCAGACGCUUUCCUCAAGUGCUUGGUCCGAAGGUCUUGCCAUCGUUCCUAAGUAGGUUUGCACUCCCUAAGACACCCCCACCACACACACGCGCGCGCGCGCGACCUUUUUCCUUUGAGUGGCGUAGCGGAGAGAAGCUUCUUCUCCAAGAAGGAUCACAGAGAGCAGGUGAUUCAGGAGACAGUGUCUCAUUGAGUUGCUUUGCUGAGGCUGGCUUUGAACUUGUGAUCCU